rnacentral:rRNA from 1 species
AUUGAACGCUGGCGGCAGGCCUAACACAUGCAAGUCGAACGAGUGGCGGACGGGUGAGUAAUGUCUGUGAACCUGCCCGAUGGAGGGGGAUAACUACUGGAAACGGUAGCUAAUACCGCAUCCCAUCGGAUGUGCCCCGAUGGGAUUAGCUAGUAGGUGGGGUAACGGCUCACCUAGGCGACGGUCCCUAGCUGGUCUGGGAGGAUGACCAGCAACACUGGAACUGAGACACGGUCCAGACUCCUACGGGAGGCAGCAGGGGGGAAUAUUGCACAAUGGGCGCAAGCCUGAUGCAGCCAUGCCGCGUGUAUGAAGAAGGCCUUCGGGUUGUAAAGUACUUUCAGCGAGGAGGCGUUACUCGCAGAAGAAGCACCGGCUAACUCCGUGCCAGCAGCCGCGGUAAUUC